GAUGAACGCUAGCGGCAGGCCUAACACAUGCAAGUCGAGGGGUAGCAGGAUUAAGCUUGCUUAAUUGCUGACGACCGGCGCACGGGUGCGUAACGCGUAUGCAACCUACCUUAUACUGGGGUCUAGCCCGGAGACAUUCUGAUUAAUCCCCCAUAGUACUAAUGAAUCGCGUGGUUUAUUAGUUAAAGCAUUGCGGUAUAAGAUGGGCAUGCGUCCUAUUUGCUGGAUGGUGAGGUAACGGCUCACCAUGGCUACGAUAGGUAGGGGGCCGGAGAGGGUGGUCCCCCACACUGGUACUGAGACACGGACCAGACUCCUACGGGAGGCAGCAGUGAGGAAUAUUGGUCAAUGGGCGCAAGCCUGAACCAGCCAUGCCGCGUGCAGGAAGGAUGCCCUAUGGGUUGUAAACUGCUCUUAUUUGGGAAUAAACCUCUUUACGUGUAGAGAGCUGAAGGUACCAAAUGAAUAAGCACCGGCUAACUCCGUGCCAGCCGCCGCAGUAA
rnacentral:rRNA from 1 species